rnacentral:tRNA from 1 species
AAUGAAAUGCCUGAAUAAAGGGUUAUUUUGAUAGAAUAAAUCAUGUAAAAAUUUUACUUUCAUUA